GAUGAACGCUGGCGGCGUGCCUAAUACAUGCAAGUCGAGCGAACGGACGAGAAGCUUGCUUCUCUGAUGUUAGCGGCGGACGGGUGAGUAACACGUGGAUAACCUACCUAUAAGACUGGGAUAACUUCGGGAAACCGUAGCUAAUACCGGAUAAUAUUUUGAACCGCAUGGUUCAAAAGUGAAAGACGGUCUUGCUGGCACUUAUAGAGGGAUCCGCGCUGCAUUAGCUAGUUGGUAAGGUAACGGCUUACCAAGGCAACGAUGCAUAGCCGACCUGAGAGGGUGAUCGCCCACACUGGAACUGAGACACGGUCCAGACUCCUACGGGAGGCACCAGUAGGGAAUCUUCCGCACUGGGCCCCCGCCUGACGGUUCAACGCCUCGUCAGUCAUGAAGGUCUUCGGAUCGUAAAACUCUGUUAUUAGGGAAGAACAUAUGUGUAAGUAACUGUGCACAUCUUGACGGUACCUAAUCAGAAAGCCACGGCUAACUACGUG
rnacentral:rRNA from 1 species